rnacentral:misc_RNA from 1 species
GAUGAAGAACUCAGCGAAAUGCGAUAAGUAAUGUGAAUUGCAGAAUUCAGUGAAUCAUCGAAUCUUUGAACGCACAUUGCGCCCGCUAGUAUUCUGGCGGGCAUGCCUGUCUGAGCGUCAUUUCAACCCUCGAGUCCCUUUGGACUCGGCGUUGGGGAUCGGCCGUCCUUCGCGGCGGCCGGCCCCGAAAUAUAGUGGCGGUCUCGCUGUAGCCUUCUCUGCGUAGUAGUAAAACCCUCGCAGGCGAAGAGCGGCUUGACCACGCCGUAAAACCCCCAACUUUACCAAGGUUGACCUCAGAUCAGGUAGGAAUACCCGCUGAACUUAAGCAUAUCAAUAAGCGGAGGA